rnacentral:rRNA from 1 species
CGGGACGGGUGAGUAAUGUAUGGGGGUCUGCCUGAUGGCGGGGGGUAACUACUGGAAACGGUAGCUAAUACCGCAUAAUGUCUACGGACCAAAGCGGGGGACCUCCGGGCCUCGCGCCAUCAGAUGAACCCAUAUGGGAUUAGCUUGUAGGUAAGGUAACGGCUUACCUAGGCGACGAUCCCUAGCUGGUCUGAGAGGAUGAUCAGCCACACUGGGACUGAGACACGACCCAG